GUAAGAUGUAAAACUCUCAGCUCCUUCUCCAGCACCCUGCCUCCCUGUGCACCACUGUGCUGCACCAUGAGAUAAUGCACUGAACCUCUGAAAAUGCUCUCAGGGAGGAAGGCACAGUGACAGCCAUAUGAGAAGCAGCCGGUCACCCCGAGUUGGCAGCCAGGAAGUGGAGAAAGGUGGAUUUCUCCCUCCUCAACUUGUCUGGCACCCAGUUUAAAGAAUGGUGCUACCUCUUGCAAGAUAGGUCUGCCUCCUCGGUCAAAUAUUCCUGAAAACUUUUGCGGAGACAGACCACAGGGUUUGUCUCCUAUGUGGUCCUAAAUCAUGUCAAGCUGACAAUCAGAGUACCAUCGCAGACUCUGUUGCUGAAUUCGGGAUCAAAAAUGUGACUCAGGAGAGUUGACAGAAGUCUGAAAAUCGAUGGAUUAUCCUUCAGGAUGCUCUCAGUAUCCUUUCAGGAAUCUGACCUUCAGGAAGCUCCAUGUUGAUCUACUGAGAAUAGCCUCGUGACCUAAGAUCUCACUCGACUCUGCCUGGUGCUGAAGGCAGCCUUUUCGAGGUUUCAGGGCAGCUACCCUGGAGAAAGAUGGCUGCAUGCUUCACUCCCUGACUCUGGAGAGAAGGCAUGUCACUGACUGGGCCUAGCCAGGAACCACAUACUUAACCCUUGACCACUUUCAGAAAACUCAGAUCUGUGCUCCUAAAGCAAUUACGAGCCAGGCAAUAGGAUUUACACAAUGGAUUUGUAACUGCAUGAAGCUGACCAGGAUCUACCCUACCAUGGUGAUCAAAUCCUUCCAGCCCCGUUCCUCUUACACAAUAGAAAGAUGAAGUCGAGGAAUUAGCAGCAAGCUCCAGUAGAGAUUUAGAUAGAUCAUUAAUUUUAAAUAAAGUGGCAGUUCUUACACUUUUUUUCUGUCACCAGCAUAACUGGAGUGUCUUUAUAAGGAGGAACAGGCUGUGCAGUGGUGGUACAGUGCAUUAAUCCCAAUACUCGGGAGACAGAGGCAGACAGAUCUCUGUGAGUUCGAGGCCAGUGAAUUUCAAGAG